CUGUGUAGCCCUGGCUAUCCUAGAACUUGC
rnacentral:piRNA from 1 species